GUGUUCUCUUUAGCAUAUCAGAACCACUAGAGAAUGUUGCUGGGUGUUUCUCUUUAGCAUAUCAGAACCACUAGAGAAUGUUGCCAGGUGUUCUCUUUAGCAUAUCAGAACCACUAGAGAAUGUUGCCAGGUGUUUCUCUUUAGCAUAUCAGAACCACUAGAGAAUGUUGCUGGGUGUUUCUCUUUAGCAUAUCAGAACCACUAGAGAAUGUUGCCAGGUGUUCUCUUUAGCAUAUCAGAACCACUAGAGAAUGUUGCCAGGUGUUUCUCUUUAGCAUAUCAGAACCACUAGAGAAUGUUGCUGGGUGUUUCUCUUUAGCAUAUCAGAACCACUAGAGAAUGUUGCUGGGUGUUUCUCUUUAGCAUAUCAGAACCACUAGAGAAUGUUGCCAGGUGUUCUCUUUAGCAUAUCAGAACCCACUAGAGAAUGUUGCCAGGUGUUCUCUUUAGCAUAUCAGAACCACUAGAGAAUGUUGCUGGGUGUUCUCUUUAGCAUAUCAGAACCACUAGAGAAUGUUGCUGGGUGUUCUCUUUAGCAUAUCAGAACCCACUACAGAAUGUUGCCAGGUGUUCUCUUUAGCAUAUCAGAACCCACUAGAGAAUGUUGCCAGGUGUUCUCUUUAGCAUAUCAGAACCACUAGAGAAUGUUGCCAGGUGUUCUCUUUAGCAUAUCAGAACCACUAGAGAAUGUUGCCAGGUGUUUCUCUUUAGCAUAUCAGAACCACUAGAGAAUGUUGCCAGGUGUUCUCUUUAGCAUAUCAGAACCACUAGAGAAUGUUGC
ensembl:lncRNA